UCAGAAACUAGUUUAUUAAAAACAGUUACUUUGGGAGUAACAAAUACAGAAAACUCCACCUGUGUUUCUGAA
rnacentral:tRNA from 1 species